rnacentral:rRNA from 1 species
AACGAACGCUGGCGGCAGGCUUAACACAUGCAGGUCGAGCGCCCCGCAAGGGGAGCGGCAGACGGGUGAGUAACGCGUGGGAAUCUACCCAUCUCUACGGAAUAACGCAUGGAAACGUGUGCUAAUACCGUAUACGUCCUUCGGGAGAAAGAUUUAUCGGAGAUGGAUGAGCCCGCGUUGGAUUAGCUAGUUGGUGGGGUAAAGGCCUACCAAGGCGACGAUCCAUAGCUGGUCUGAGAGGAUGAUCAGCCACACUGGGACUGAGACACGGCCCAGACUCCUACGGGAGGCAGCAGUGGGGAAUGUUGGACAAUGGGCGCAAGCCUGAUCCAGCCAUGCCGCGUGAGUGAUGAAGGCCCUAGGGUUGUAAAGCUCUUUCACCGGUGAAGAUAAUGACGGUAACCGGAGAAGAAGCCCCGGCUAACUUCGUGCCAGCCGCCGCAGUAACAC